rnacentral:rRNA from 1 species
CUACGGGGUGCUGCAGUGGGGAAUAUUGCACAAUGGAGGAAACUCUGAUGCAGCAACGCCGCGUGGAGGAUGACACUUUUCGGAGCGUAAACUCCUUUUAUAUAGGAAGAAGAUGACGGUACUAUAUGAAUAAGCGCCGGCUAACUCCGUGCCAGCAGCCGCGGUAAUACGGAGGGCGCAAGCGUUACUCGGAAUCACUGGGCGUAAAGAGCGUGUAGGCGGAUUAAAAAGUCAGAAGUGAAAUCCUAUAGCUUAACUAUAGAACUGCCUCUGAAACUCUUAAUCUAGAAUAUGGGAGAGGUAGAUGGAGUUUCUGGUGUAGGGGUAAUAUCCGUAGAGAUCAGAAGGAAUACCGAUUGCGAAGGCGAUCUACUAGAACAUUAUUGACGCUGAGACGCGAAAGCGUGGGGAGCAAACAGGAUUAGAUACCCGCGUAGUC